rnacentral:rRNA from 1 species
CAGCCGCCGCGGUAAGACGGAGGGUGCUAGCGUUGUUCGGAAUCACUGGGCGUAAAGGGCGCGUAGGCGGCCUGUUAAGUCGGAUGUGAAAGCCCGGGGCUCAACCCCGGAACUGCAUCCGAGACUGGCAGGCUUGAGACCGGGAGAGGAGGGUGGAAUAUCCAGUGUAGAGGUGAAAUUCGUAGAUAUUGGAUGGAACACCGGUGGCGAAAGCGGCUCUCUGGCCCGGAUCUGACGCUGAGGCGCGAAAGCGUGGGGAGCAAACAGGAUUAGAUACCCGCGUAGUCCCUGUCUCUUAUAC